CGGGGCGUAGCGCAGCCUGGUAGCGCGCCUGCUUCGGGAGCAGGAGGUCCCGGGUUCAAAUCCCGGCGCCCCGA
rnacentral:tRNA from 2 species